AUACGCAUGUAUUUUUAUUGAUUAAAAUAAUUUAAAAAUGUGGCCCUGAAUAAAGAAACAAAAUGUUUCAGUCCCUGAGAAAAUGACACUACAGAACAUUUUCAUUGACGAAUUGCAUCAGAGACAGCACAACUUCGGAACUGCUCCACAGGGAUGAAGUGUCUCUAGGUAGAUCUGAGCAGGAGAGCUGCGGGACCCCUGGAACAGGAGCUAAAGUCCUGCACAGAGCUGCAGGGGAGCCUCAGGGUCUGCUGCAGGAGUGCAAUGUGUCAGAGGGGCAGAGCAGCUCACAGAGCAGGCUGAAAUUUCAGUUGCAUUAUCAUGCACUCUUCCUCCCCUCACACUCAUGUGAACUCCCAUCCCCAGUCUGAAAUGCAGAUACUCUUGAUUAUUAAUCUCAGGUGUCCUUGCAGAGUAAUGAGGUCUCUUUCUGCCCCACUCCCCUGUGAUUUCCAGCUGCCAUCACUCUCAGCAAUCCAAACAAAUUCAAAUAUUGCACUUAUUUAUAGAACUAAAUGCUGACACUUCUCUCCACUGAGGCUAGCACUCCUCUCUCAGGAUGGGGGCAGAUUUCAGGUCAGUUCAUUUUCUCACCUUCUUUCACUUCCUUCUGGCCCUGGUGCUGCUGCCAGCCCCUUUCCUGCAGGAUAUUCUAGUGCUUCCUCUUGAAGGAGGAGCGGCCCCUUCAAAACUGAGCUGUGUGCCCCGGCUGUGCCCUGCAGCCAAGCCAGCCCCACACCGCUGCCCCUUCCUGGCAGGCCUGGUGGUGCAGCACGAUCCAGGCUGUCCGAUGAAGGUUCUCCGACACCUCCAGCAAGCACGGCAGAGCAGCUGGGGCAGGGGCCGGAGAUCACAGGACAGCACUCCAGUGAGGAGAUGGGGACAGCCUGGUGAGAGCUGCAGUGCAGCACUGCGUGUAUUUGACAAGCUGAGUUCGACACUCAGUCUGGCAGAGUGUCAGUUUGUCAAAUACCCCAAGUGA
rnacentral:lncRNA from 1 species